rnacentral:lncRNA from 1 species
CUGGCUCGUUGUUAAUUAUACUUGCCUUGGUUUUUGGACCAUAUUUAUUAAAUACAUUAACCAAAUUAAUUUCCUCUCGCCUAGAGACCAUCAAGCUUCAGAUGAUCAUGCAACAAGGUUUCCAGCCAGUUCAGGUGAAGACACCACUACUGGCCAUCAAGAAGCUACCCUGUAUCCACUAGACAGAGCAGAGUGAGAGUUCUGUGAUCCCAAAUAGUGUUCUGAGGUUGAUCUUGGGAGGAAUUAUGUCUCUCCCUCCGCCAAAUUCAUGUGUUGAUGUCCCAACCCUCAGUACCUCCAUAGGCUAUUUGGAGCUAGGAUCUUUAAAGAGAGAUGUUCACCUUAAGAGGACAGAUCUGCAGGUACCACCCGAUCCGUAACUCGGUGAUUCCAAAGAGAAGAACAUACCUUUCUAAUGGAGAUGUCUGGUGAUCACCACCAUAGCCGAGGGAUAGCAGUGCGGCACCCGGACGUGCUGAGCUGCAGACACAAUGACAGGUGCACUUCCCCUGGGAGGCGGUCUUUCCCAGCACCCUUAACUCGAAUCUAAGCAUGAGGAAGCCAUCGGUCAGGUCCUCAACGGAGGAGUGUUGCAGGGAGAUUUUCUACAGGCUAGAGGCCUGGACUCUCCUAAUAAUCCAAUGCCAUGUAAAACAAAACAAAAGCAAGAAGGCAGGAGGACCACCGUAGACUAAAAGAGGCUAAAGCGAUGUAACCACCAAAUGUGAGACAUGAAAACUGAUUAAAUCUCCAAUCAGGAAUAACAUGCCACAGAAGACAUUUGGGAAGAGACAUGAACAUGGUUGUACAGGAGAUGACAUUAUUGAGUUAAGUUGAUAUUCUUAGAUAGGAUAAUCGUGACGGUUAUGGAGGAACACGUCCUUUCUCUCCACAGUCGUGUAUUGAAACUUGGAAGAUUAACUGUUAUAAUAGCUGCAGGUUACUUUCAAUUGUUUAUGACAACCUGGGUGUACCUAUAUUUAUUAUAUGUACUGUGUGUAUGCAUGUGUUAUGUA